rnacentral:misc_RNA from 1 species
UACGUAGACCACAAGCGUUAUCCGGAAUCAUUGGGUUUAAAGGGUCCGUAGGCGGGUACGUAAGUCAGUGGUGAAAGUCUGCAGCUCAACUGUAGAACUGCCAUUGAUACUGCAUACCUUGAGUAAUUAUGAAGUGGUUAGAAUAUGUAGUGUAGCGGUGAAAUGCAUAGAUAUUACAUAGAAUACCGAUUGCGAAGGCAGAUCACUAAUAAUUUACUGACGCUGAUGGACGAAAGCGUAGGUAGCGAACAGG